CUACGGGGUGCUGCAGUCGGGAAUUUUGCCCAAUGGGGGAAACCCUGAGGCAGCAACGCCGCGUGAGGGAUGAAGGCCUUCGGGUUGUAAACCUCUUUUCUCAGGGACGAUGAUGACGGUACCUGAGGAAUAAGCCACGGCUAGCUACGUGCCAGCAGCCGCGGUAAUACGUAGGUGGCAAGCGUUGUCCGGAUUUACUGGGCGUAAAGAGCGCGCAGGCGGCCAGGUCAGUCGAAUGUGAAAGCCCCCGGCUCAACCGGGGAGGGUCAUUCGAUACUACCUGGCUUGAAGGUAGGAGAGGGAAGCGGAAUUCCAGGUGUAGUGGUGAAAUGCGUAGAUAUCUGAAGGAACACCAGUGGCGAAGGCGGCUUUCUGGCCUAUUCUUGACGCUGAGGCGCGAAAGCUAGGGGAGCGAACGGGAUUAGAUACCCCCGUAGUC
rnacentral:rRNA from 1 species